rnacentral:pre_miRNA from 1 species
AGUUUUUCGAAUCCGUGCAGAGAUUUAGUCAGACACCAACACAUCAGGGCUGAUAGGACUUCCAAGAUAAGUGAAGUU